GACAGAGGUGCCAAGCGUUUAGGCGGAAUCACUGGGCUUAAAGCGUGUGUAGGCGGAUGUCUAAGUACCUUGUGAAAUCCCACGGCUCAACCGUGGAACUGCUUGGUAUACUGGAUGUCUUGAGCCAUCUAGGGGCUACCGGAACAAAUGGUGGAGCGGUGAAAUGCGUAGAUAUCAUUUGGAACGCCAAUGGUGAAAAACAGGGUAGCUGGGGGAUGUGCUGACGCUGAGACACGAAAGCCAGGGGAGCAAACGGG
rnacentral:rRNA from 1 species